GACGAACCGUACGAACGUUAUUCGGAAUCACUGGGCUUAAAGCGUGUGUAGGCGGAUCGUUAAGUACCUUGUGAAAUCCCACGGCUUAACCGUGGAACUGCUGGGUAUACUGGCGAUCUUGAGGUGCUCAGGGGCGAGCGGAACAGAUGGUGGAGCGGUGAAAUGCGUAGAUAUCAUCUGGAACGCCUGCGGUGAAAACGGCUCGCUGGGAGCAAUCUGACGCUGAGACACGAAAGCCAGGGGAGCGAACGGG
rnacentral:rRNA from 1 species